UGUGGCUCAAUGGUGGAGCACUUGCCUAGCAUGCAUGAGGCACUGAGUUUGAUUCUUAGCA
rnacentral:tRNA from 1 species